rnacentral:rRNA from 1 species
GAUGAACGCUGGCGGCGUGCCUAACACAUGCAAGUCGAGCGAACGCACGAGAAGCAUUCUCUCCUGCUGUUGGCGGCGGACGGACGGGUAACACGUAGAUAACCUACCUCUAUGACUUGGGUAAUUUCGGGGAACCGCUUCUACUACCGGCUAAUAUUUCGAACCGGUUGAUUCAAAAGUUCAACACGGUCUUCGUGUCACUUUUAGCUGAUUCCGCGUUGCAUUAGCUAGUUGGUAAGGUAACGGCUUACCAAGGCGACGAUGCGUAGCCGACCUGAGAGGGUGAUCGGCCACACUGGAACUGAGACACGGUCCAGACUCCUACGGGAGGCAGCAGUAGGGAAUAUUCGGCAAUGGGCGAAAGCCUGAUGGAGCAAAACCGCGUGAGUGAAGAAGGUCUUCGGAUCGUAAAGCUCUGUUAUUAGGGAAGAACAGAAGCGUAAGUAAAUGUGCACAUUUUGACGGUACCUAAAGAAAAAGCCACGGCUAACUACGUG